CGAAAAUUUUAGUGCUAUAUCACCAUUUUUUUGAUAUUUUUAUUUUCAGCCGUUGAUUUGCACCCUUUCGACGCGAGGUAAAUGAUAUCGAAAAUUGCAAAUUAUUUUCUAGAUACUUCAAAUACGCUAGAUCAAGUCUAACGGAGCAGAUCGUCGAUUUGGAAGCUCCAUGACCGAAAACGGCUUAGCAGCACGGAGGCCUCCGUGUUCUAAUAGCAUCAGAAGACCUACCUAAUAUAUAAUAUAAUGUAGUAUACUAUAUAUAUAUAUAUAUAUAGUAGGGCUACUAUACUCUUAUGAGUAUUGGGCCUUUCGUACUUAUAAGUUGUUUUUGAUGAUGGGGCUUCCGAAUCGACGAUCCACUCCGUUAAAUAUGAUCUAGAGUAUUUAAAACUUCUAAAAAAUAAAUUUCGUAAUUUUUCGAAAUCAUAAUAAAGUCCAUCAAACAGCCAUAAAAUGAAUGGUUAAAAUCGAACGACGUCCUAAAAAUGGAUAAUCGGAUUCUUCAAUUUAAGAUUGGAGUUAUUGAUCUUUUUCUAGAUAGUGAAUAAAAUUUUCUAUCAAAAAUUCAACCUAUUAUGAAUCUUUUUCACCAUUAAACUAGCAAGUAUUCCAUUCCGGCCGUUAAAAAUUGUCAAUUUUGUGAGCUUUUGAUCGUAAGGUAAAUGAUGUCGAAAAGUUAUAAAAUUUGAUUUCUAGAAGUUUUAAAUACUCUAAAUAUUGUUUAACGAUAUUGAUCGUCGAUUCGGAAGCUCUAUCAUCGAAAAUAACUUAUGGGUACGAGGGCGAUCGUACUCAUAAGAGUAUAGUAGCUGGACUCUAUAUAGAUAUAUAUAUUUCGAGAUUUUCGAGCCUAAUUCAAGCGAGCCCAGUAAUACCCAAACUCGUUUUGAAAUUAAUUUCGAGCCUAAACUUAGGCUCAAGCUCAACUUGGAAUUAAUUCUAGCCGAGCUCGAGCGAGCCGAAUAUCGAGUCGAACGCGAGUCGAACACAAGCCGGCUUGCUCAUUUGCCAGCCCUAUGACUCGUUCACUACUUAUAUUAUUUAUUUUUUCAAAAACUGAAUCUAACAUAUUAGAUGUCUAUUUUUAUAAUUAUUUUUUUAAAAAAAUUAUUUUUGUAAUUAUAAAAAUUUGUAGGAUCAUUUAAAAAAAAUUCUCCUUAUUUCCUUCUAUGGCAAACCAAGUACGCCUGCGAAAUUCUAUUUAAUUUCACAUAGGACGAUCCAAUACGACAAUAACAACGUACUUCAUUUACGAGGAGCCAAACAUCACUAGUAAAUGAAAAAUAUACUUUGCCACACUACUAGCAUAUUCUAAAAUAAUGUGUAUACUAGUGAAGGACCCGCGCGUUGCGGCGGAACGAUUCUGUAGAAAUAAAUAUAUAAAUAAAAUAAAUAAUAGUAAAAAAAAAGAGUCAAAAAAUUGUAUAAAAAAUAACUAAAAAAUAAACAACUAUUGCUGUAAUAAAAUUAUAAGAAAGAUUACAAAAAAUAAAGACAAAAAUCAUACUAAUAAGAAAUUAUAUAUAAUUAUAUUUAUACUUAUAUAUAUUAUAAUUAUUAUUAUAAUUAUAUAUAAUUUUUAGAAAAAUUGAUUUAUUGUUCUUACAUUUUGCCUCUAUUCUUCUUUUAUCUAUCUUAUCCUUUUAUUUUUAUUUUUUUUUACUUUUUUUAUGUUUCAUUUUUAAAUUUCCUUCAUUAUUUUUUAUAUAUUUUUAAUAAUUCUUUUAUUCAGCUUAAUUAAAAUUUAUAUUGAAUACAAAUAAUUUAACUUAUUUAAAAAUUAUUUAUAUAUUUUAAAUUUUUAUAAAAAUAAAUAAAAAUUUAGAUUGAAUUAAAAAAAUUUAUAAAUUUUUUUAAUCAUAUAUUAAGAGAACAAAUAUAUAAAAAUAAUAUAAAAAAGAAAAGUAGAAGAGACAAAAGAGACAAAAAAAAAAUCCCUUCUCUCUUUUUCCUCUUUCUUCUCCCAGCUGGGCCCCGCCUGGCUCCUCUCCUCCUCCUCUCCUCUCCUCUUCCCACUUCACUCAUCGCCCGCGUCCGCCGCGCGCCGCCGAGCGCCGCCCCCCUGCCGCCGCCGCCGCGCGUCCCGCGCCAUGCUGCGCGCCGCCUCUUCCCUCUCCCUUCCCUCUCCUCAUGCCGGGCCACGCGGUCCCCGCCCCACGUGCCGCUGCCCGCCGCAGCCCGCGAUCGCAAGCCGCAGCCACCGCACCCCGCUACGCACGAGCCGCCGGCCCGCGGCCCGCGUUGCUCGCCCCUGCCGCGCCUCGCUCGCCCACCUGUCCGCCGCGCCCCGCGCCGAGCUUCGGGCGCCUCCUGCCCGCCGCGCCCGCUGUCCGCUCCCAACGGCCCGGCCCGUCGCCGCGUCACGCGCGCCCCGCACUCGCGCCGCUGCACCACGGCCCGGCGGCUCGCCCCUGCCCGUGCCCCACGCUCUGCCACCUGUUCCAAAACUGAAGAUUCAUUAGGUAUGUUAUAGAUAUGUUACACUUGUCUUUAGUCAACGGGCGCCGGUACUAUUCUAUAACUCAUAAUUAAAACCCCGUAAUCUAAUCCACUGCCAGUAUAUUUCUCUCAUCCUUAUCCUUUCCUACGCGUUGACCGACUUCCCCUUCUGCUUUCUCAAGCGGUUCUCUCUCUCGCGCGCAUGUUUUUAUCGGCUUUUUUUUUUAUUCUUUUGUUUACUACCGCGAUUUUUUUUUUUUUUUUGGUUUCUACCGGGCUUUUUUCACCCUUUCGCUGCUUCAGAUGCCGCCUCUUGCUCCCCCUCCCUACCGUGCCACUUCGAUACCUCCUUUGCUUCUUCGAUCCCAUCUACGCCACAUCGCUUCGAUCCUGCUCCCGUCUCUUCGAUUCCAUCUACAAUCCCAUCUAUUGCCUCUCAUGCCGCUUCGAUCCUAUUCCCAUCCCUUCGAUCUCGGCCUCGUCCCUUCGAUCCCUUCUGUUGCCGAUCUGGGUUGCUUCUGUCGCCGCCUCGAUUUUGUGACCAUGUUGCUUAAGAAGGGUUUCUUUCAUGCUGUUUGCAUUAACUGUCAGAAUUUAUAUAAUGAGGCAUGGAUGGUUUCCUUCUACGCUGCUGAAAUCAUUUUCUCCUGUAAGCGAAAAUUUAGCGGCGUUUAAUCUAACAAUUACACUGGUGGAUCUGAAUCAUUUGGUUCUCUCAAUUCCAUUGGUUUUCCCUUUUAUUUCUAUUUAUCUGUAGAUUCUAUUUUUCUGCAUUUUCUUUUCAAUUUUAUGCCUUUUUUUUCUAACAAUUUUUUUAUUUUUGUUGUGUAGUUAGCAUGCUUUUCUUACAUUUUGCGACCUUACGAAUUUGAAACUGUAAGCUUAAGCAUGUUAGAGGUCCAAUUGACCCAAUUCAAAGCUCAAAGCCCAAAAACCCUAAGUUCUACAAGCUAGGGCUUAAUAGCUUACCUCUUGAGCUACACCAAUGAGAAAAAGAGAGGGAGGGGAAGAUGUCCAAGGUCUUCAUCUUGAUCUCCUUCUUCUUCUCUUUCUUUUCCUUCUCUUUUCUUCUUCUUCCUCUUCUUUGUUCUUUCUUUCCUAAAGAGAGAGAGAGGGAGCAAGAGAUAGAGAGAGAGAGAAAUGAGAGGCUGAGGGAGAGAGAGGACCUAUAUGCCUCUCUAAUGUAACAAAAUCUAUUUUAGCCCCUCAACUUUUCAUCCUAUACACAGCCUUUACUGGGCAGUUUUCGCCCGGAGGGACCGAUCCCUCAUCGGGGAGACCGGUCCUCGAAAGUAGUCCUCGCGGCCAGAGGGCCUCUUCGCGUUCGGGAACCGGUGUCUUCCCGGGAGACCGAUCCUCGGGAGACCGGUCCUUGCCUGAGAGACCGGUCCCCGAGAGCUUGAUUUUCAGGACUUAGCCGAUUUUGACCUUCUCUCGCUGGCGUCGCACACGGGGACCGGUCUCUCUCAGCCUGGGACCGAUUGCAUCAAGAAUCCCCAGCAACCACCAGCCUCGGGGACCGGUCUCUCCCUGCCAGGGACCGGUCCCCGAGAGCAGAAUCUGCCCAGUGCAGAUUUUCGCAUCAUUGCUCUCGUGGACUCAAUUCUAAUGCACUUUUUGUGUUUUGGACAACUUUAACUUUCCCGAAGGAUUCUCACUCGACAAGUAGUCAAUCCCGGAUGAAGUACAACUCUCGGAUUGCGAGAAUUCACUUCCUUACAUCCUCCCUUUCUUAAAAGGAGUUUCGUCCUCGAAACUAACUCAAUUCUUUACUUAACUUAAAUUUUUACCUCAUUCCUCAAAUAGAUGAGGAUGGUGCUUUCUCAUUAGAUCCUCGAGUUCCCAGGUGGCUUCGCGAUCAUCGUGAUUGCUCCACCGAACCUUCACAUAGGGAAUUUCUCGAUUCCUCAGCCUUCGCACUUCUCGGGCGAUAAUCAUCACCGGAAACUCUUCGUAGCUCAGGUCUUCUUGAAGUUCCGAUGGCUCAUAUAGCAUCGCGUGCUCGGGGUCGUGAAUAUACUUGCGGAGAUUGGAGACAUGGAACACAUUGUGUACAUCCGCAAGCUUCGGCGGCAAAGCAAGUCGAUAAGCCACCGUGCAAACUCGCUCCAAUAUUUCAUAGGGUCCAAUGUACCGGGGACUCAACUUUCCCCACACUCCAAAUCGCUUCACAGCCCGCAUCGGUGAAACCUUCAAGAAUACACGGUCGCCCACCGCAAACUCUAUAUCUCGACGGCGCCUAUCUGCAUAGCUUUGCAGUCUCGACUGCGCUGUGAGCAAUCUCUUGCGAGCAAGGCGGACUUUCUCCUCCGCUUCUCGCAAAACAUCGGGGCCGAACUCUGCACGCUCACCCACAUCGGUCUAAUGUAUAGGAGACGGACACGUCCGCCCGUAAAGCGCCUCGAACGGCGUCAUCUCCACACUAGCAUGAUAACUAUUGUUGUAGGCGAAAUCGGCCAUAGGUAGGUGAUCAGACCAACUUCCCUUAUAGUCAAUAACACACGCUCGCAACAUAUCCUCCAGAGUUUGAAUGGUUCUCUUUGUUUGCCCAUCGGUAUGAGGAUGAAAUGCGGUGCUAAAGUCGAGUCGUGUGCCAAGGGCUUCCUGCAGGCUCUUCCAGAAGUGUGAAGUGAACCGGGGGUCACGAUCCGACACGAUCGAUUUCGGCACCCCAUGCAGUCUCACUAUCUCGUCGAGGUAUACCUGCGCUAACUUGUCACCCGACCACGUGGUGUGGAUCGAUAAGAAGUGAGCCGACUUCGUCAAUCGGUCCACAAUUACCCAAAUCGCAUCAUGGCCGCCAGUUGAGUGAGGCAAGCCGACCAUGAAGUCCAUUGAUAUGUCCUCCCAUUUCCAAACGGGGAUUGGUAGGCUUUGAAACUUUUUCGCUGGAAAUUGACGCUCGGCCUUCACUUGUUGGCAUGUUAAGCACUUCGCCACAAAGCGUCCAAUAUCACCCUUCAUUACUGGCCACCAAUAGUGCAUUUUUAGUCCUUGAUACAUCUUGGUGCUACCCGGGUGAUCGACAUAUGGAGACCGAUGUGCUUCUUGCUCCAUUUUUCGGCACACACCAUCGGUUUCGAAGCCGAAGGGUACCACCGGCAUCUAUACUGAAAUCGCCGCCUCGACCUCCUCGAUGUUUUGCCGCACCUUGGAGUUCUAGGUCUGCGGGUUGCAGAUCUUUGAUUUUCUCCAACAAGGUCGGUUGGACAACGAGCGCCAUCAACUCGGCCGGAAUCUCGGGAGAAACCACCUCAAGGUUCAUCCGCUCCAUGUCUAACCACAAGGGUGUUUGAUUUGUAACCCACAUCGAGAGGUUCUCCGUCGACUUCCUACUCAGCGCAUCAGCGACCACAUUCGCUUUUUCGGGGUGGUAGAGGAUAUCGAUGUCAUAGUCCUUUAACAGUUCUAACCACCGCCGCUGUCGCAUGUUGAGCUCUUUAUGUGUGAACAGAUAUUUCAAAUUCUUGUGGUCGGUGUAAAUCUCACAAUGGGCACCGUACAGGUAGUGCCUCCACAGCUUCAAGGCGAAAAUUACCACCGCUAGCUCCAAGUCAUGGAUGGGGUAGUUCUUUUCAUAGCUCUUCAGCUGACGGGAUGCAUAAGCAAUCACCUUCCCGUUUUGCAACAAAACACACCCUAAUCCUAGAUAGGAAGCAUCGCUGUAGACUACGAAGUCUUCGCCUUGCACUGGUAGAGCGAGCACCGAAGUUGAAGUUAAUCUCUGCUUCAACUCUUUGAAACUCCGAUCGCACUCCUCGCUCCAAACAAACUUGGUGCCUUUCUGAGUCAGGCGGGUAAGUGGAAUCACUAUCUUGGAAAAGCCUUCCACAAACCGCCUAUAAUAGCCCGUCAAGCCCAUGAAGCUUCGAACCUCCAUGACAUUAGUCGGGCGCGGCCAAUCCUUGAUUGCCUCAACCUUCCUCGGGUCUUCUGAAACUCCACCCGCGGAAAUCACAUGCUCUAGAAAUGCGACUUCUUGGAGCGAGAAGUCACACUUCUUCAACUUAGCAUACAGCUUCUCCUCCCGAAGGGUUUGAAGCACUAUCCUCAAAUGCUCGGCAUGUUCCUCGUCACUACGAGAAUAGACCAAUAUGUCGUCUAUAAAGACCACGACAAAUCGAUCCAAAAACUUCCUGAAGACACGGUUCAUCAAGUCCAUGAAUGCCGCUGGAGCAUUCGUGAGUCCAAAUGGCAUAACCGUGAAUUCAUAGUGCCCGUACCGCGUACGAAACGCAGUUUUCUACACAUCCUCCGCUUCAUUUUGGCAUCUCGGUGGACCCGAAGAAAGUAGAGGCAAUUAAAGAUUGGCCUCGCCCGACGAGUGUAGUGGAAGUCCGCAGUUUUCUUGGAUUAGCGGGCUACUACCGGCGGUUCGUGGAGGGGUUCGCUGAAAUAACCACUCCGCUAACGUGCCUCACGCACAAGGGAGUGAAGUAUGUUUGGAGCGAUGAUUGCAAUCGGAGUGUUGAAGAGUUAAAGGAAAGGUUGACGACAACACCGGCGCUUUAUCGACGCCGGGGGAGACAUUUGUGGUAUAUAGUGAUGCUUCCUACGUUGGACUCGGAUGUGUUUUGAUGCAAAAUGGGCAGGUGAUAGCGUAUGCUUCGCGCCAAUUGAAGACUUAUGAAAAGAAUUAUCCGAUCCACGACCUCGAGCUAGCGGCGGUUAUUUUCGCACUAAAGCUAUGGAGUAGGGGUGGAAACGAGCCGAGCUCGAGCGAGCUUACCUCGGCUCAAAUUCGGCUUGAAAUUAAUUUCGAGCCUAAAUUUAAGCUCAAGCUUGGAUUGAAAUUAAUUCGAGCCAAGGUCGAGCGAGCUUAAUUUCAAGUCGAGCGAGCUCGAGCCCUAAACGAGCCGCUUGGAAUUCUCAAUAUUAUACGAUCAAUGGUUUAAUUUGUAUAGAACAUUAUCUAUAAUUUGAUACAACAAUAUAUCUAAUAGUUCAAAGUACAAAAUAAUUAUAUAAAAUAUAGUAUUAUAAUAUGAAAAAAAAAUAAUUUAUGAGUUGAAUAUCUAAUUUUUUUAGCCUCACAUGUCUUUUCUUUCGCCUUCAAUCUCUAUAUUAUUCAUUUUCAUUUAUGCAGUCAAAAAUAAAUAAGUUAUAUAGAUAAAUAUUGGAUUAAACUAUCCAAUCAUAUAUAACUAAAAUUAAAAUUUUAUAUGAAUAAUAAUUUUUUACUUUAAAAAUAUUCUGUAUAUUUUCUCAAGCAUACAAUUAAUAGCAAGGUAAGCAACGGCGGGCAUAUGAUGUUACUUGGUAACUUAGAGGGCUUCCGGCUUGGCCACUUAGAGUGAGAGACAGAAAAAGAGAAAGAGAGAAACAUAUUGAAAAUUUUUAGCUCUGUGAAAGAAAGAAAGAAAGGAAAAAUAUAUAAAUUUAGUAAAAUUUUGCUCUUUUAUUUAUCUAUUGGGUUUGUUUUUAUGGGCCAACAUUGGCCCAAUUUUAACUAAACUCAGAUUAUUCACUCAGCCUAUAUAUAAUUAAAAUAUAUUAUAUUUAUAUAUUUUUUAAUAUAUAUAUAUAUUGUGCAGAACUACUAUGCUAUCGAAAAUAUAGAGGAUUUAAUGUUUUUGAAUUUUUGACCCUUUGAUUAAAAAUUGUAUGGUUGGGAUGAUUGCUGUCUCCCCUAGGAUUAAAUAAUACUCUUAGGAUUGAGUAGUCCCUACAAGGUAAUAAUAAUAUUAAUCCAAAGAUAAGAAAAGAUUAAAGGGAUUGAUCUAAGAAUCAAAAAAUUGAAAGCACCGGAUCUCUAUACUUUCGAUGGCAUAGUAGCUCUACUAUAUAUGUAUAUUCGAGCUUUUCGAGCUUUUCGAGCCUAAUUCGAACGAGCUGAGUAAUACUCAAGCUCGGCUUGAAAUGAAUUUCGAGCCUUUUUUUUUGUUCAAGCUCGACUCAUUUAAUUUCGAGUCGAGCUCGAGCAAGCCAAAUAUCGAGUCGAACGCGAGCCGACUCGCUCAUUUGCCAGCCCUACUAUGGAGGCAUUACCUAUACGGGGAACAUUGUGAGAUAUAUACGGAUCACAAAAUCCUAAAAUACUUGUUCACCCAAAAUGAGCUAAAUAUGCGACAACGGCGGUGGUUAGAGUUGUUGAAAGACUACAAUGUUACCAUUCUAUACUACCCCGGGAAGGCGAAUGUCGUGCUGAUGCACUUAGUAGGAAAUCGGGAAAAAUUUUGGCUUUGGCAAUUACAACCCAACCAUUAUUACAAAAAGAGAUGCAACUGCUUGGUUUGAAAGUAGUAGCGUCGGGAGUGCCGGCUACACUUGCCGCGUUAGUGGAGCAACCAACCUUGUUGGAGAGGAUAAAAGAGCUACAAGCUUCCGAUGAGUAUCUCCAAAAGGUGCACGGUGAAGUUGAGAGCGGUAGUGCCGAUGAUUUUGGCAUUGGGACCGACGGUACACUUCAAUUUCGAAAUCGUUAGUGUGUACCUAAGAACAAGGACAUCCGCAAGGCGGUUAUGCAAGAAGCGCAUCAAUCUCCUUAUAGUAUCCAACCUGGCGGCACCAAGAUGUACCAAGAUUUGAAAUUGCAUUAUUGGUGGUCGGGCAUGAAGAAAGACAUUGGGGAGUUUGUUGCGCAAUGUCUUACUUGCCAACAAAUAAAAGCGGAGCGGCGGUUUCCGGCGGGAAAAUUACGAAGCCUACCUAUACCCGUUUGGAAAUGGAAAAAUAUCGUGAUGGAUUUCGUGACCGGUGAUGGAUUUCGUGACCGGAUUGUCCCAAUUUCAAGGUGGACAUGAUGCAAUUUGGGUGAUAGUAGACCGGUUGACGAAGUCGGUGCAUUUUCUACCGAUUCAUAUUACAUGGUCAGGGGACAAGUUUUCUCAAGUGUAUCUUGAUGAGGUUGUGAGACUUCAUGGGGUUCGGGUAUUAAUCGUAUCGGAUCGGGACCCGAGGUUCACAUCCCACUUUUGGAGGGGCCUACAGGAGGCAUUAGGCACACGGCUCGACUUUAGCACAGCAUUUCAUCCUCAAAGUGAUGGUCAAUCGGAGAGGACGAUACAAAUGCUUGAGGAUAUGCUUCUGGCGUGUGUACUUGACUACAAGGGCGGUUGAUAUGAUCAUCUACCGAUGGCAGAGUUUGCAUACAAUAAUAGUUAUCAAGAGAGUAUCGCGAUUGCGCCAUUCGAGGCUCUUUAUGGAAAGAAGUGUCGCUUUCCUAUACAUUGGAGUGUUGUGGGAGAGAGUGUGACUCUUGGCCCCGAUGUGGUGCGAGAGGCGGAGGAGAAAGUUCGCCUUGCCCUCCAAAGACUUGCUACGGCGCAAUCUCGGUAAAAGAGCUAUGCCGACAAGCGGAAAAAAGACAUAGAGUUUGCAGUUGGCGACCACGUGUUCCUAAGGUAUCGCUGAUGCGAGGAAUUAGACGGUUUGGGCUCUUUGGGAAGCUAAGUCCCCGGUACCUUGGACCGUUCGAGGUAUUAGAGUGGGUCGGCGCGGUGGCGUACAAGAUAGCAUUUCCAUCGACCAUUAAAAAGUGUCAAAUUUGUGACCUCUUGAUCGUAAGGUAAAUUGUAACGUAUCAAAAUCUCGAUAGAAAAUAGUGAACUUUAGCCAAAUUGACUAAAAUGUGCAAAUGGAUUAAUUGGGCGAGUUCCAAUUAACCUACCAACAAUGUUGGAAGGGUUAAAAAUGAGUUCUAGAGGUGUUAGAAAGGUUUUAGCAUCGAUCGACGCGAAAUAGAAUCGAAAACGGCGCAUAACCAGCAUUCUGGGCAAAGUGUACCGGUACAACCAUCGAGUUGUCACCGGUACAGCCCUGCAGACCGAGAAGAGUUGCUCUCGGGUUUGAGUUUUCGCAGAAGUGUACCGGUACACCCCUGGUGUGUACCGGUACACUUUGGUAAAAUUCGAGGAGUUUGCUCUCGGGUUGCCUCUGCGCAGAAAAUGUACCGGUACAAGAACUCGUGUAUCGGUACACUUUGGUCUGGCAGCACAAAAUAGGUUUGCUACAAAUACAGGUGUUUGGAGGGUUUUGUUGUAAUUGUUACAACAUGUUAAGACCCCAAUAUCCCUUCUCACUCUCUCCCACAGCCAUUCACUCCCUCCCUCUCAUUUCUCUUAUUUUCUCUCCCUAUCUCAUUUCUCUUAUUUUCUCUCCCUAGAGAGCUCUCCAAAAGGUGGAUUUGGAGGAGAUUUGAAGGAGAAGCUAGGAUUUUGGUGGCUUGGAGAAGAUCUGGGGCUCUCCUACAAGGUGGACCUUGGAGAGCUUUGGGCUAAGGUGAGGUUUUAUGAAAAACCUAGGCUAGGCUUUUGGUUUAUGUCCUAGAAAACUAGGUUUUGAUCUUCUAAUGAGUAUAGAACCUAGUUGGAGCUAUAGAACACAUGAAACCCAUGAGAGCUUCAUGUGUUCUAAUGGUGGAUUUUUAGGGUUUGCAUUCUAAACCCUAGAAAUGGUUUAGAUAGUUCUAAAUGAGCUUCUAGAUGUUGGACAAUCUCUCUUUUGCUUGCUUUAGAGAUCAAAACCUAGAAUUGAGCAAAUGGCAUUGUUAGGGCAUAGAUUUUGGGGCUUUUGCCUCCGGUUGUUUCCGAGGUAAAUUGACCUCUUGGAAACCUAAUUUUGGGUAUUCCCGACGCAUGGGACAACUCCGUUUGACGUUACGAAAAGGUCUAGAUAAAGUUAUUGGAAAAAAAAAAGCCUAAUUUGGCUUCGUUUUGCCGCAGGUGAGGGAAUAGGGCUUCAAAAUUUUCAAGAAAUUUAUUGUAGCAUCCCUACAACCAUCUAAGGUGGGUGGUGCAUUCCGAAGACCUCGGAAUUCCUUUUAUGUCUAAAGUGUCAUAUUUGAGCAUAUGUAUGUAUUUGAGCAUAUUGCAUAGUAGGUUAAUUGUGAGCUUCUUAUGGCAUGUUAUGAGUACAAAUGCAUGUGAGUUACUAGUAAGAAUGUGAAAAUUUUAUAAACCCUAUUUAUGCAUGAGAAGUGACAAGAAUUUAGUGAACUAGAAAACAAAUGUGACUUAUUGACAUAGAGGUAGAGAAUGGCAUUGACGCGUCAAGAUUGCUAGAGUGGAACACUAGAAAACAAGUGUGACAUGUGUUCAAGAACAUGGUACUGUAUAUGACACUAGUGAAAGUAAAGAAUGCGAGUAAAAGUGUGAUAGUGACAUUAUGACAAUUUCAACCUUAGAGUUAAGGGUCCUAGUGCAUGGCUUCCUUAUAGUUAAGGAAUGGAUUGACACUAUAACAAAAAUGCUUUUGAGUGGCGGCUUUUUGGUGGCGACAAGUACUGUCGCCACCAAUGUAUUAAAUAUGGUGGCGACAUUUACUUGUCGCCGCCAAUUCAUAGAAAAUGGCGGCGACAUGUAAGAGUCGCCACCGAUACGGGAUUCUUUGGCGGCGACAUAUAGGAGUUGCCACUGAUGCUAAAUCUUUGGCGGCGACAUAUAAGUGUCGCCACCGAUACUGGAAUAUUGGCGGCGACAUAUAAGAGUCGCCGCCGAAAAAUGAGUAUUAGUGGCGAUAUUUGUCGCCACGAUAUCUCCUUAUUUACCGCGCACAAGUUCCCUCCUUUUUUUCGGCACUCACCUACUCUAUGCAAAAAGACCAAUUUACCCUCUGUUAUUUUAUAUACAUUGUAUUAAAUUGUGGGGGCUUUAUUAUCUUUUUACAUUUAAAAAUAGUAAAAAAUGUUAACCUGACUUCUAAACCCAUCUCAAACCCAUAGUGUACAUGGUCUCGAUCACUUUUCUCUCUCUCUCUACUUUUCCCUAGCUCUUCGUCCCUUCCGCCCCCUCCACCUGCGGCUCCAGCAAGCCCCGCGCCUCCCCAAGCCCCGCACCUCCGCCAAGCCCCACGCCUCCCCAAGCCCCGCGCCUCCGCCAAGCCCUACGCCGCCUCCGUCUUCAUCGGAAGCGAACCUCGGUCCUUCGCCGCCUGCCGCUCUAGCACCCCCACGGGGGGCUUCGCUGCAGGCCAGCAGCACCUCACGGCGAGCUUUGCUGCAAGCCAGCGCACCUGCGCGUCACCUCGUCGAGCCGCACCUGCGCGUCGCCUCGUCGAGCCGCAGGCUCAUCUACAGAUCCAACCCAACUCCUCCACCAUGUAACCCUCCCUCCCUCCCUCCCUCUCUGUGCCCUAAUUUUCUAAUCUAUUUUUCCCUUUUUUUUUUUCUUUUUCUCUUUAAAUUAACUGGGGAAUCAUCCCACUAUCCAGACCUACGAGGUGUCAUCGUCGUGGUGGAAAUCGCUGAGAAAUUGCUGAAGAAUCGUAGGUUGCUGAAUUGGGGUAGUAAAAAUUACUAAAUCACUCUACUCUUUAAUAUUUUGCCUCAGUUUUUAUUUUUUUUCUAAUAUUUAAACGUUAAUAAAUGUAGGUCGGGUGGUGCACGAAAAGGGGCUUUUGCCACAGCAACGUGAGAAUUCAAUUACUCGGUUUUAUUUUAUUCUAUUUUAUUUUUUCUGGUUUCAUAAUUGCUGAAGCAGCUUUUACUAACUAGUAGAAAUAUAUGGCUAAUAAUAAAUAAUAUUCGACCAUCAAAUUUCAAAUUUGUAUAUAUAAGAUUGCUUGACAAUUUUACACAUGAAUAUGAUAGCAGUGUAUAGCUAAGAUUUUGCAAUAAAUUUGUCUGCUUUAGUAUUGAGAACCACCCUCGAGGUUGACCCACCUGAAAACGGGGACCGCCGCUAGGCCCAGCAGCGCCAGCUCCUAAAGAAGGCAUAUAUAUAUAUAUAUAGCUAAAGUUUUAUUUUAGGUUAUUACACUUCUAUGUGUGCAGAAACAAGUCCUUAACUUUUUGCUAUGCGUGCUUAACUUAGUCCAUUUUUAUCUACUAUUCCUUCUCUAUCAUAAUGAGAUGCAUCAUAAAGUUCAAACUGUAGCAAAAUUUAUGAGAAUAUAUGUCACGCCCCGGGACCGGCGGAGGCCCUCCCGGUAGCGUGCCCAGACCCGCCAUAUGCCUACACAUAUAAGGCGUCUACAAGAAAAGCGGAAGUAAAAGCAAGAGAUGGAACAAAUAAAAGAAGUGAAAUAACAAACAACUAAUGAUAUCAGAGCGAGUAAAGUUCUAACAUCUGUACUAAUAGUAAUAGAGCAUAACUAAAACAUAAAAGUAAACAUAAGAUAUGUAGUAUCAGCCUCUAGUACAAAAGUGGCGGUCUCUAGUACACAGGUAAAACUCUCAACCUCUCCAAAAUAAAGUACAACGAGAGGUAGACCACCUAGCGAAUCGUCCUCGAAGGAAGCUAGCUCGAAGCAACUCCCUUCCCACGGUCCCUAGCCUCUUCCGGCGUGGAAGGCUCUGAAAGAAAACACCAAACAGAGGGCGUGAGAACUAUAAUUUAUAGUUCCCAGUGGGCAAUUACUGACCUCAGCUCAUCGCACCACUAGGCCCCAAGAAAAAACGGAGUGAGUAUAAAAAGAAACAACAAUAAGGAUAACCGUAACAACAGUAAGGAAGCAUAAUUGAAGUGCUAACCUAUAUGUCCCAAGUAAGCAUGAUGCAUGGUGAUGUACAUCUAUGCUAUCAUAAAAUAAUAUGUCCAAUGCAUACCAAUAUGUCUCAACAUACUAAACAAGUAAACCUCACGAUGCAAUAUGUCAAAGCAUAAGAGUAAACACUAUCCAAAGACCGAGUAUACUACUAUGCAAUAAUGAAACCGACAAGUAUACUAAUUGUACCAAUGCUAUAUCAUGAGCAUGUCCAAGCAAUCCAACUACUAAUCCUAUCUAGUAGUGAUUGACCAUAUGUCACACCGUGUCGAUUUCCAUUUCCAAUUAGGGACCCAACCAAGGUAGUCCAGCUUGUGCCGCCUAAGUGCCUGUGGUAGCCCAACAUCCCUACUCUUGGAAUGUGUCUGUCCCACUCGACCCCGUAGGCUUCUCAGUACCGCACGAGCGAACAUAAGUCGCGUAGGCUAACUCCGGAGUGCCGGCUUGUAGGGAGCGACCCUCACAAGCAUGUGCGAAUGAGCACAAAUGGCAAGCAAGCAUAGUCCAAAUCUCAAGUAUCCAAUCCUCGUGUCACUAAGUGAUGUCCCAACACUCACUUGCUUAGUGCCUCUUUAUGACACUUAAGCAUCACAACAGAUCCAGCCCCAAUCUUGUUCUAUGUUUCCAAUAAAACGUCAAUGCCAAUGAUUACCAUGACCCGGGCCCAAUGCCUCUUCAUGACAUUGUCCCAAUUCUCAAAUAGUCAAAGUUCUCAAACCCUCUCUAGGCUUCUAACAUUCCUAGUGUCACAAUUGGCAUAUAGGUUAAAUACAUGAAGCAAGGUUCAUUUACAUAAUAAGGAUCGUGGUUCCCAAUCAUAAACAGAAUGCUAAGUCUCACAUGCAUGCACUCUACCACAUAGAGGUCUAAAAUUUCACCAUACAUAACAUAUGCAUGUUAAGCAUUCUAAAAUUCAUAUUAAAUACAUUUAACAAGGAAAUGCAUGAAUUUCUAUUGUACGAAACAUAUUUGCCAAAUAUGAGCAUUUCUCAUAUCAUAGGCUAGGUCAAACCCACCGAACCAUCGCGUAGGGCCUCGAUUCGCCGAACAAAGUUGUCCACGAGCCUCAAGAUAACCUAAAAGUGAUCAGCGAAGAGAUACGAGGGCAUUACAACCAUCUUAUAAAAUCAAAUAUUAACCUAGAAGCAAAAAUGGCCAAAACUUACCUCAGGAGUAGAAAUUUCUUCCAAAGCUCCAAAAGAGAGCUAGAACCCUUCCAAACCAAGCCCAAGGAAGGUUCUAAUCCAAUCAAUCUAGCCUCAAAAGCCCUAGAUCAAAAAUGCCCAAAUAUGAGCCCUAAAACCACAUUCUAGGGUUUCAAAACAAUAAAACCUCAAAUCCAAGGUCUAGAUGGAGAGAAAGGGCUACCAACCUCUAAGAAGCUCCAAUCAAGCUCAAAGGAUGAAGACCUUCCCCUUUGCAAGCUCCAAGUCCAAGCCCUCAAGCAUCAACAAGGUAGGAAGAGGAAAAAGGGGGCAAAGAAGUGCUCCAAGUCCACCAAAACCCUCUCCUUCUCCUUCUUCUCCUCCUUCUUCUUCUCUUUCUCCUUCUCUCUCUAGCAAGGGUGUGGGGAGAGUGUGAGGAGAGAAAUGAGAAAGAGAGAGGGUGGAAGGGCUAUUUAGGCCAUCCAAAGUAACAAAAUCCCAGGAGGUCCCUCAAAAAUCCAAUAUUACAUCAGCCCGGUCUGGGCAGCUUUCGCCCAGAGGGACCGGUCUCUCCCCAGCAGGGACCGGUCUCUCGCUGCGAACUCGAAAAACCAUCGUUCGGGAACCGGUCUCUCCCUGCGCGGGACCGGUCUCUCUCUCUGCGAAAACGCGCUCGGGGACCGGUCUCGCCCGCCAGGGACCGGUUGCCUCAAGGCUGCCGCAAUACUGUUCACUAGGGGACCGGUCUCUCCUUCCAGGGACCGGUCCCCGAGAGUAAAAACUCUCAGGAUUUGUCCAGAAUUUCAGUUUUCGAACUUUUUAGGUCGGAGAACAUUCUACAACCCUCCACUAAGUGUGGAAAAGCUCGAAAUACACCCAAACACUCGAACCUCGCAAUUUGCAAAGGUCCAGUGUGUUACAAUAUAUAUAUAUUUUUUGAAGUAAUAUGAGAAACAGUUUUGAAAUAACAUAAGAGACCCAUGUUUGUCUAAGUGUUGUCUAAGGUUCCGUGCCUCGACCCCAAAAAAAGGAUGCCAAGUAAAGCAUAUAAAGAUAUUAUGAAAAGAGUUAUGAAUGUUCGAGUGUACUAUAAAUAUGGCCGGAACCAUACAGAGAUACUCAAAUUACGAUGUUUCAGUUUUCUAUUUAGUAUAUAUCUUGAAAUUGGUUCAUAUACAUACACUAUCCUCUUGCUUUUUGUGUUGAGCUCGAGAUGGCUCCUCACAAGUCAAUGAUUAGUUAUUCUCAUUGAUGUUGAUAGAAGUUAUCACCGAUCACUGAUUUGUAUUAAUAGAUAGAACUACAAUGUUUUCUUGAGUGAAUAAAUUUUGAACUACAAGUUACUUCUAUCAAUGUUUAGUAUUCAAACUGAUAUACAUUGUGUUUUUAUUAUAACUUUUUGAAGGGACCUUCUAUCUCAUUAUUUGGUUGCCACAAGAUUUUCAUUGAGAAGGAUAGGUGCCCAAGCUCGAAAAGAGAAGUGUUGACGGUGAGUUGACUAUGGACAAUGACUUCGCUUUUUAUUCCAACUACAAAUUUCAAAUAGCAAGUUUAAACAAUACUCUCAACACCCUGCCGCUAGGUGCGUGAUUAGAUCAAAUCAUAUGUAGUGCGCAAUGUCAUCUUCCUAAUUAUUGUUCUCGUAUUGGUGUUUGAUCAACAAUCGUAUGCAAGUGAUUGUUUCAGUUGGUCCUCAUAUUUGCUAGCUAGCUACUGCUAUGGAAUUUCAUACAAAAGGUUGCAAUGAAAAUUUCUAGCUAGCCACAUAUAUAUAUAUAUAUAUAUAUACAUGCCUUCUUUUCCUUUUUGGAAUGAUCAGAGUGCGGGUUAAAUAGCAACGUGAAAUAAAACUUUAGGUUAUUACACUUCUCAUUUUGCAAUCAUAUAUGAGCAGUAUAUAUAUAUAUAUAUAUAUAGAGAGAGAGAGAGAGAGAGAGAGAGAGAGAGAGAGAGAGAGAGAGAGAGAGAGAGUCCAGCUACUAUACUAUUAUGAGUACGAUCGCCCUCGUACUGAUAAGUUAUUUUUGAUGAUAGAGCUUCCGAAUCGACGAUCCACACCGUUAAACGUUAUCUAGAGCAUUUGAAACAUCUAGAAAUCAAAUUUCGUAAUUUUUCGACAUCAUUUACCUUACGAUCAAAAGCUCACAAAAUUGAUAAUUUUUAAUGGCCGGUAUGGAAUGCUUGCUUGUUUGACGGUGCAAAAGAAUCCGAAUAGGUUGAAUUUUUGAUAGAAAAUUCUAUUCACUACCUAGAUAAAGAUCAAUAACUCCGAUUUUAAAAUUUCUGGAUCCGAUCAUUCAUUUUUAAGACAUCGUUCGAUUUUGACUGUUCAUUUUAUGCCCGCUUGAUGGACUUUAUUAUGAUUUCGAAAAAUUACGAAAUUUAUUUUCUAGAAGUUUCAAAUACUCUAGAUCAUAUUUAACGGAGUGGAUCAUCGAUUCGGAAGCUCCAUCAUGGAAAACAACUUAUGAGUACGAAGGGCCCAAUACUCAUAAUAGUAUAGUAGCCCUACUCUAUACAUAUACAUAUACAUAUACAUAUACAUAUA
rnacentral:lncRNA from 1 species